GACGAACCGUGCGAACGUUGUUCGGAUUCAUUGGGCGUAAAGGGUGCGUAGGCGGCGCGGUAAGUCGGGUGUGAAAUCUUGGAGCUUAACUCCGAAACUGCAUUCGAUACUGCCGUGCUUGAGGACUGGAGAGGAGACUGGAAUUUACGGUGUAGCGGUGAAAUGCGUAGAUAUCGUAAGGAAGACCAGUGGCGAAGGCGGGUCUCUGGACAGUUCCUGACGCUGAGGCACGAAGGCCAGGGGAGCAAACGGG
rnacentral:rRNA from 1 species